rnacentral:rRNA from 1 species
GACGACGCUGGCGGCGCGCCUAACACAUGCAAGUCGAACGAGUGGAUGGUCUUCGGACCUGAAGCUAGUGGCAAACGGGUGAGUAACACGUGGGUUACCUACCUCUAAGACGGGGACAACAGUUGGAAACGAUUGCUAAUACCGGAUGUGCUUUACGGAGUAAAGGAGCCUUUAAAGCUUCGCUUAGAGAUGGGCCUGCGGUGCAUUAGCUAGUUGGAGAGGUAACGGCUCCCCAAGGCGACGAUGCGUAGCCGGCCUGAGAGGGCGGACGGCCACACUGGGACUGAGACACGGCCCAGACUCCUACGGGAGGCAGCAGUAGGGAAUUUUCGGCAAUGGGCGAAAGCCUGACCGAGCAACGCCGCGUGAACGAAGAAGGUCUUCGGAUUGUAAAGUUCUGUUGUUGAGGAAGAAGAUACAUUAUAGGGAAUGAUAGUGUAGUGACGGUACUCAAUUAGAAAGCCACGGCUAACUACGUG